rnacentral:rRNA from 1 species
GACGAACGCUGGCGGCGUGCUUAACACAUGCAAGUCGAACGGAAAGGCCCUGCUUUUGUGGGGUGCUCGAGUGGCGAACGGGUGAGUAACACGCGAGUAACCUGCCCUUGACUUUGGGAUAACUUCAGGAAACUGGGGCUAAUACCGGAUAGGAGCUCCUGCUGCAUGGUGGGGGUUGGAAAGUUUCGGCGGUUGGGGAUGGACUCGCGGCUUAUCAGCUUGUUGGUGGGGUAGUGGCUUACCAAGGCUUUGACGGGUAGCCGGCCUGAGAGGGUGACCGGCCACAUUGGGCCUGAGAGACGGCCCAGUAUCCUACGGGAGGCAGCAGUGGGGAAUCUUGCACAAUGGGCGGAAGCCUGAUGCAGCGACGCCGCGUGCGGGAUGACGGCCUUCGGGUUGUAAACCGCUUUCGCCUGUGACGAAGCGUGAGUGACGGUAAUGGGUAAAGAAGCACCGGCUAACUACGUG